rnacentral:rRNA from 1 species
UACAGAGGGGGCAAGCGUUGUUCGGAAUUACUGGGCGUAAAGGGCGCGUAGGCGGCCUUCUAAGUCGAACGUGAAAUCCCCGGGCUCAACCCGGGAACUGCGUCCGAUACUGGAAGGCUUGAAUCCGGGAGAGGGAUGCGGAAUUCCUGGUGUAGCGGUGAAAUGCGUAGAUAUCGGAAGGAACGCCGGUGGCGAAAGCGACGCGCUGGACCUCUUCUGACGCUGAGGCGCGAAAGCCAGGGGAGCAAACGGG